AUACAGAGGGUGCGAGCGUUAAUCGGAAUUACUGGGCGUAAAGCGCGCGUAGGCGGCUUAUUAAGUCGGAUGUGAAAUCCCCGGGCUCAACCUGGGAACUGCAUCUGAUACUGGUAAGCUAGAGUUUGGGAGAGGGAAGUAGAAUUUCAGGUGUAGCGGUGAAAUGCAUAGAGAUCUGAAGGAAUACCAGUGGCGAAGGCGACUUCCUGGCCUAAAACUGACGCUGAGGUGCGAAAGCGUGGGUAGCAAACGGGAUUAGAAACCCCAGUAGUCC
rnacentral:rRNA from 1 species